rnacentral:lncRNA from 1 species
CCUCUUUGUUUUCAUCACCACUCUUUCACUAGCUUUCUCAAAUGAAGAUGUUGAGCAAGUAUUGGACGUUAAUGGCAAGCCCAUUUUCCCCGGUGGCCAAUACUACAUCUUGCCAGCAAUCACUGGCCCUCCCGGCGGAGGAGUAAGACUCGGAAGAACCGGUGAUUUAACCUGUCCAGUCACCGUCCUACAAGACCGCCGAGAAGUUAAAAACGGUCUACCAGUGAAGUUUGUUAUACCAGAAAUAUCUACUGGUAUAAUUUUCACUGGUACACCAAUUGAAAUAGAGUAUACAAAGAAACCUAAUUGUGCAAAAUCAUCAAAAUGGUUAGUAUUUGUUGACAAUGUUAUUCAAAAGGCCUGUGUUGGUAUUGGUGGUCCUGAGAAUUACCCUGGUAUUCAAACAUUGAGUGGAUUAUUUAAGAUUGAGAAGCAUGAAUCUGGAUUUGGCUAUAAGCUUGGAUUUUGUAUUAAGGGUUCUCCUACUUGUUUGGAUGUUGGAAGAUUUGAUAAUGAUGAAGCUGGAAGAAGGUUGAAUUUGACUGAGCAUGAGUCCUUUCAAGUUGUGUUUGUUGAAGCUGAGGCUAAUGAUGCUGAGUUUAUUAAACUCCUACUUGUUUGGAUGUUGGAAGAUUUGAUAAUGAUGAAGCUGGAAGAAGGUUGAAUUUGACUGAGCAUGAGUCCUUUCAAGUUGUGUUUGUUGAAGCUGAGGCUAAUGAUGCUGAGUUUAUUAAAUCUGUUGUUUGAAUUUUAGUUUAGUAUAAUUAAGCUAGAUUGUGUGAGUUUUAGUUCUUGCACAGUUUUAAGCAUAUAAUAAAAUGGAAAUAUUUGUGUUCAAUGUUUUCUCUCUUCUAUUAUUUUUCUCUUUAUAUAUAUCAUUCAUUAUAUUCUCUCUCUCUAGUUGUUACAAAAUCAUUAAGGAUAAGUUUUGUUACUAUAUUUUUGGAUUGAAUUCUUAAAUGGUUUUGUCAUUGAUUGUUUCAAGGGAUGUUCACGUGGAUACAGCAGAAAUAUUUACAAGCCUUAGUGUCCUACUAUGUUUGUUAAUUACAAUUACAAAUAUCACCAAAAGUAAGAGAAAGUAGCUUAGGCAGUUUUGGUAACUUUUCAGGGUAAAACAGAAAUGUACUUUGCCCACGAGGAGCUCGUGGUUACAAUUUUGCAUAGAUAAUUAUUCUUUCUAAAUUAUUGUUUUUUCUUUUAUUUGAUUUCUAAAUUAUAAAAAUUAUGUACAUUUUAAUUAAUUAGGUGUAGCGUAGGUUUUUGAAUUUUUUUUUUAAAAUAACUAUCAUUUUCAAAAUUAAUUUCAAAAUAAUAGAUUUUUCAAAAAACUUUCCAAAAUAACCACCUUUAAAAAAAGAUGCGUCAGAUGAACUAGCGCAACCGUCUUAAACCAAGAGGAGGCACCUGCGUUGCAAGUCUUAUGAGGAGGCGUCAAUGUCUAUGGCGCCUAUUUUGUGUCUCAUGAGGAGGUGUCAAUGUAUAUGACGCUUGCAUUGUGUCCUAGGUGUAUGCGUCAAUUCAUCUGGUGCAUACACCCUUAUAUUAUAUAUUUUUUUAAUUUUUUUUUUAAUUUAUGAAAUAAUAAAAAAUAAUGUAAAAAAAAUUAUAUUCAUGAUAUAAUCAAUGUUACAUGGGAUUGACAAAAAUUUAAAGACCAGCCUGAUCGAAACGUCCAUCUAUUCCACAUCCAGGUGGUUAGUUUUUCUCUGAGGUCUCCCACAAUUUUCCUGAGGUGUUUGGGGUUUUUGCAUGUUGACCGGAUCGAAUGAUGUCUGGUGUAAAGAUCUGACGGAAGUUCCAGUGGUAUUUGACAGAUGUGUCAUCAUUUGUUCCCAAUAUCCGGGGGGCUCUGGCCAACGACACUUCCGUAAUGGAGUUUGGUGUCCAUGUCAUCGUAGUUAGGUCGAUGGGAUUGGAUGGAUUGUGGACGGUAUAAUUGCCCAAAUUGGGACAUUAAAUCGUUUUGGAAACGAAGCAAUGGUUCCUAGGGCAUUCUAUAGUUAAACAAUGAUUGUGUGUUUUGGUGAUGGGAUGUUUGAGUGGUCAUUGGUGGGGGGCUACGAUGAAGUGACCCAUAUGAAUCAUUUGGGCUAUAGACGUUUGUGGUUGAUGCGUAUGAUUGUUGGUGGGUAGGGUUUGAUUCUUGGUUUUGUGGUUGGGUGGGGGACAUGAAUGGAUUGCGACGUUGGGUGUUUGGUUGUUUGGUGGAUGGCAUGAAUGGGUUGUGAAGUUGGGUGUUUGGUGGUUGGGUGUAUGUGGUAGGUUGAUGGUGUGAGGUUGGUUGUUGGGUUUGGGUGGUUUGACAUUGGUGUUGGACGGGGACUUGUUGGGCGUAUGAUGACGAAGUUAGUUGGCAUGGAUCUAUCAAAUACCGCGGCUCAGACACAAAUUGUUGAGUUGUUACCGACCUAAACCAUGUCAUAUAUUAUUGAGUUGGUCCUGCAUCAUGGAUGAUUGGUUCGUUUAAGAUGUGUUAUCGUCGAUUCCUCCAUUGACGACACAUCUCUUUUGCAAAGUCUCUCCAGUCGGAAUAAUCCCAUUGGGCAUCAACUCUUUUUUGAUGCCAAUUCCCUAAACACGCCGGAGGUUCUGGAAUCUGUUGUUGCAUGUCGAACUGCGGCUUUACCCGGUCACUCUAGUCCAUUUCCACAGUAUUGAACCGGAUAAUUGGUGUCUUUGUUGUCUAAACUGUAGCAUCGUCAUGGUUCACAUGAUGAUCAAGAUCCAGAUAUGGCCUCUAGAUAAACUGUAAAAUAAUACGAAACGAUUAGAUGAUAAAUAAUUUGAUAAGUAUUUUUAAAUUAAAAUAUAAUUGUGUAAGAGUAUUACAUCGUAUGGUCCAAUGUCGUCCAAUAGAUUGCGAUAGACUACUAUAGCGUGUUUCAAACACCUAUUGUAGUUCAUCCCCCUUACUUACCACCUUAGAUAAAAAAAAUUGAAAAAUAUUAUUUACAGUUAAUUGUAGUAUAAAAUAUAAUUAAUUAAAUGGUAAAGUGUUACACUUACUUUGUUGCAAACGGGAACACGAAUGGGUUCUCGUUUAUCGGGGCGAGUGACGACAUUCUUAAUCAACUCCAUGCUUGUAGCAAAUACGCACAUGAAAAAAACGUACAAGUAUUCUUUUUUGCAUUUUUACACAUUACACUAUAUAUAUGGGGCAACACAGCUGAACCCCAACUAUAUGUGCUUACCUUAUUAAUGUUGCGUAACAAUGGUAAAUACAUAAUAUUUACUGAAUUACCUGUACUUUUUGGAAAUAAAAAAUUACCAAAUAAAAUCAUAAUAUAACACCGAGCUUUAAUUAUUUUUUCGUACUCGGUUGAUUCUUCGGACAAUAUUAUACUCGCAUUAUAUUGUUUAAGGUAUUUUAAAUUUAUACAUUGUCCCAUUGCUUGACCGGAUGACUCUCCCUCAGUUUGGUCGUUACACAAAGGGGCAUCCAAUAAUUUGUUGUAGAUAGAGUUGUCCUGGUUUACUCUACUAUUCAAGGUCUUACCAUCUAUACGGAGACCCAACAACAUGUAUACGUCCUCAAGUGUGACGGUACACUCACCGAAAAGAAGGUGAAAUAUAUGGGUCUCGGGUCUCCAUCUCUCCAACAAAGUAAGAAUGAACUUGUAGUCUACCGAGUACGAGACAAUGUUAAGGAGAUUUCCAAAUCCACAUCCUCUAAUAUAUGGUUCUAUCAAAGGAUUAUGGGGUACAUAUUCAUGUACACGACAUCGAAAAUGCUUUGGGUCCUAAUAACACAUAAGUAAGAAAUACAAUAAGAAGAAGUAAUAUAUAAUACAAACAUAGAUAACAAAGGUAUACGAAUUAAAUAUGGAAUAAGUAAAAAGAGAGUGAUAACAUACAAACGUCGAGAUAUUCUCGAGUGUUCCUCUGUGUUCAUCACCCAUAGUCAACAGGGACAUAAUUUGAUGUUGCAGAGCUUGAGUGUGGCAGAGAAAGAAUGUGGUAAAGAAAGAGUAUAAAUGAUUAGUGUUGGAGAUGAUUUAAUGUUGUGAUUUGAAGCCUAUUUAUAGAUGAGGGAGUCUUACUAGGUUUGCAACCUAUGCAGCAUAUGAUUAUGGCAAAGUAGAGUAGCCAUAGUCUUAGGCGCAUGAAUGUGAUAUUCACAUGCAAAGAAGAGCCACCCUUGCUCUUGGCGCCUAUGAGUCUUUGUCAUGAAGGGGCGUCCUUGCUCUUGGUGCCUAGGUUGCUUUAUGUGGCGCCUGUUUGGACUAUUAGGGCAGAGAUUCUCUUGUGAUAUUCCUUGUGUGUAGAGAUUCCUUGGGCGCUUUCAUUGUGUGUUCUUGUCACUGCAUGCAUUCCCUGUGUGUUCUUGUCACUGCAUGCAUGGUAAGGUUUAUGCAGAUGAAUAGCAUGAUCAACGCAUUCAACGUUUACGCUAUUUAAGUGCAUUUGAAUAACAUAUCAAUGCAUUCAAUUUCAGUAUAGAAAAGAAAGUUAGAAUUAAAAAAAUGUCUUUCUCACAACAUUACAAUAUUAGUGCCCAUAUCGAAGGUGAAAUAUUUGAGCAUCAACUAUUCAAUUUUUGUUUUCGCAACACAGAGGUAACUCGGUUUACAAUAAAUCGACGAUCAAGUUUUUUACAUUUGAAACAAAUAAUAGAAAAGAAAUUGCAGUGCACUCCUGUUGGCCAAAUCAUCUAAAAAAAUCUGGUUUGGUUUGCAGAAAACCAGGUGAAGUUUUAUUAGAAGAAGAUUCGAAGAUGAUGAAGAUGUUCAACAUAUGUUUCUCAGUCACGAACAAUCUGGGUAGAACGAUAUACAGUUGUCUAUAUUACCACAACAACAACAAAUGUCUCAGUUCAUUGAUCAGUCAAGAGUGUUUUGUGAAACUGAUGACGAACAAGCUGAGGUGAAUGUUAUAGAUGACGAAGAGGAAGAAGCCGAGAUCUUGGUUGAUUCAAUGGUGAACGCUGAUGACGAAAAAGAGCCAUUACCAGCUAGUCAUGUAUAUUAUCCACCUUAACACAUGACAAGGUUGAGUUUGGGUUCCGAUGAACCUUCAUCAAAUAUAUGGUACAAUCCUUAUGUGCAAAUGCAAGGAUCUUUGAAACAAGGAGACACAUUUCUCACAAAAGAGGAUUGUGUAAAAGCCAUCAAAAAAUUUCACAUGCAACUAUCAGCUGAUUUCAGAGUUGAUAGAACUAAUGCAUUGAGGUACAAAAUUUAUUGUUUGAAUGAGCACUUCCAUUUCAGGUUGUCAGCUUCGUACCGGAAGAGGAGCGAUUCUUGGGAGAUUGGAUCCAUGGGUCCAGUUCACACAUGCAUGCUGACAAACCUAAUGCAAGAUCAUUGGAAACUAAGUUCUCAGCUAAUAUGCGAUGAAAUAUUGUUUGUCAUUGGAGACAAUCCAUUUUAAAGGUGAGUACAAUAAUCUCACAUAUUAUGGCAGAGUACCAGUACACUCCAUCAUAUAGGAAGACAUGGAUAGUUAGGACUAAGGCUGUUGAAAAAAUGUUUGGAAAUUGGGAGGAGUCUUACAAACAACUACUAAAAUACCUGUUGGCUAUAAAAUAGUAUGCUCCAGAUAAUAUUGUCAAGUUGGAAACGUUGCCUGCAUAAAGAAAAGACGGGAUGUGUGCUAUUGAAAAUGGAAUAUUCCACGGUCUCUUCUGGGCGUAUCAACCAUACAUCAUAGGUUUUUCUUUUUGUAAACCUAUUAUACAAAUUGAUAGUACAUGGUUGUACGGGAAAUACAAAGGAACGUUACUGAUGGCAGUGGCACAAGAUGGCAACAUCAGUAUUUUUCUAAUCGCAUUUGCCCUUGUUAAAGGGGAGACUGCUGAGGGAUGAAGUUUUUUACUUAGAAAUCUCCGAUUGCACGUUGCACCGCAGCCUAACUUAUGUUUGAUCUCCGACAGAUACCCUUCAAUCAUCAGUGCAUAUAAUAACAUUGAUAAUGGCUGACAAGAUCCUCCUUCAACGCAUGUCUUCUGUAUUAGACAUAUUGCUCAGAAUUUUAUGCGGGAAAUCAAAGACAAGACGUUGCAGAAGAAGGUUGUCAACUCAGGUUACGCAUUAUCAAAACCUUCUUUCAAACACUACUGCGAAGAAAUAAGAUUGUUAAACACAGAUGCAAGACGGUGGAUCGAUAGUAUUCCAUUGGAGAAGUGGACUAAGGCAUACGACAACGAUCAAUGUUGGGGCCACAUGACAACAAAUCUUGUGGAAUUAAUGAACUUUGUCUUCAAAGGCAUCUGUAACCUACCUAUAACUGUUUUGGUGCAGGCAACAUAUUUCAGUCUAGGAGCGCUAUUUGAGACCAGACGUUCCAAAUGGAGUUCAGUGUUACAAUCUGGGCAGUUGUUCAGUGAUGCUUCAAUGAAAUUCAUUAGACAUGAAGCUGCCAAAGCAAACACACAUGUGGUCACAGUGUUUGACUGCACUAAAGGUUGGUAUAGUGUUGCCGAGUCCAUGGAUCACAAUGAGGGCAUGCCGAUGGGAUAAUACAGAGUCGAACUAGAUAGAGGUUGGUGCGACUGCGGAAAGUUUCAAGCCUUUCAUACGCCCUGCUCCCAUGUCAUUGUGGCAUAUUCAAAGGUUCGAAGGGAUCGAUCCUACUUGCUAUCUGACGUUUAGAAAGUCACCAUCCUAUCAAAUGUUUAUAAAAUUAGUUUUUCUAUAGUAGCAAAAGAGGAUUACUGGCCAGAAUAUCAAGGGGACAUCGUCUGGCACAAUGAAGUUAUGCGAAGGAAGAAAAAGGAUCGCCCAAACAGCACCCGCAUUCGAAUCGAAAUGGAUACGGCGAACAAAAUGGUUAGAUUAUGUAGUUCAUGCCGUCAACCAGGUCACAAUCGUACUAACUGUCCUAGUGUUGGAACGAGCACAACCAGAUAAAUUUACAUGUACCUCUGUUGCAAUAUAUAAAAACCUAAAUUUGUUUUAUAUUAUAAGUUUGUGAGGAAAAUACCAUUAUAUAAACAAUAACACAAACAAUUAAAACAACUACAAUACAAGAACUAUGCGAUUACAACCAUCAAAAUAAUUUUGAACAUGUAAUGCAUCAUCCUAUGAACGUCUCGGUCAGUCUUAAUAUUCACCCAUUCACGCACUUCUUCAUUUUGGUUGAACGUGGACACAAGCCAUUGGAUUCUUAUAAUCCUUUCACCAUCUCCAAUUUCUCCAUCUAACCAAAUGUUCAACGUCCGAUUAAGACGUUCAAACAAAUCUAUAUUCCAGAGUCGAAUCUUUAUCGGAGACGUAACGAUGGAAAAUAUUAAAUCGACAUUUCUCUUGUGAAUGUAUUCAGACAUGGUUAAAACACAAAAAUUUGAAGGAGAGUGGAGUUGAAUGAAAGAAAAUAUGGUAGCAGGAGAAGAUUUUUUGUGAAAAAUAUUGCAUCCAGGGUGAGGUAUUUAUACAUAGGAGAUAUAAAAUGCAUGCGCCAAGAGGCUUGGCGCUUACAUGUUAAGACAUGCAGGCGCCAUGGGCAUUGGCGCCUCCUCAUGAGGCUUCCAAUGCAGGCGUCAAGGUCUUAGGCGCCUCCUCUUGGUUCAAGACGGAUGCGCAAAUUCAUCUGAUGUAUCUUUUUUUAAAUGUGGUUAUUUUAGAAAUUUUUUUAAAAUUUAUUAUUUUGAAAUUAAUUUUAAAAAUGAUUGGUUAUUUUUUAAAAAAUCUAGUUUUUGGUACGUUAUUUUAAUUAAAAAAUUAGAAACAUUGAAAAGUAUUUGUUAUGAGUAGGUUUCCUAUUCUAAAGCCGACUAUACUUUCUUUUAUAGGUUUUAUUAUUAUUUUUAUAAUCAAAGUGAAUUGUAUUAAAAUAAAGAACAUAUUGGGAUAGCAAUGUAUAUUCGGAGAGCAGUGUAUAUUCAUGAGUAUCAUUAGUAGUUCUCCCCUUAGUAACUUACUAAAUAUGGUAUCUGUAUGACUCUAAAUUUUAACCUAUAUUAUUUUCAUAUCAUUUUAUCAUACAUUAUCUCAUGUAUAGUGAAUUAGCGUUUUGUGUGAAUUUAUUUUUAAAUAAUUAUUAUUUUUAAAAAUAAUAUUAAAAUAAUUUUUUUUGAAAAAUAUAUAAAUAUAACCACUUUUUAGAAAAAAAAAUAAUUCGGAUAAAGUAUGCGUCAUACCAAAUGGUGCAUCGUUUUGAUAACUGAACUAAUGUGUUAUGUUUAGUGGCUCAUGCAUGCAGUUCAAGCCAAUGUAAUUGGCAUAUGCUUUGGGAUGUUGCACUAUAACGUCAUUGCAUAUGGCGCAUGCAUGCAUGCAUAAUGCAUGCGUCACUCCAUGUGUCUACUGCUUUUGCUUUUACCUCUAUAAAUACAUAAUCACCUACCAUUAUUUUUCACACAUCUUCUUACCAUCUUCUUCUAUUUUCUUCAAUUUUCUUCCAUUUAUUCUCAAAAUAUCUUCAUAUAUGUGUCUUUAUAUUCACAAGAGAAAUGUUGAUUUAAUUUAUUCGGCAGUAAAGCCUCCGAUGAAGAUUUAACUAUGGAAUAUAGAUACGUUUGAACAUCUUAAAAGGACUUUGAUACGUUGGUUAGAUGGAGACAUUGCCGAGGAUGAAAAGAUCAGAAGAAUCCAAAGGCUUGAUACCACGUUCAACUAAAAUGGAGAAGUUCGUUUCUGGGUAAAUGUUAAAACUGGCAGAGAUGUUCAUAUGAUAAUGUAUAGUUCUCACAAAUUAUUUUGAUGGUUGUAAUCGCAUAGUUAUGUUGUUUAGUUGUUGUAUUUAUUUGUGAUGUCGUUUAAUUGUUGUAGUUGUUUGCGUUGUUUAAUUAUUGUUUACAUUAUUGUUUAGUUGUUGUUUUCAAGUUAUUGUAACUGAAUGUUAUGAUAUUUAUGAAAUGAAAGUUGUUUUUAAUAUAAAGCAAAAGGGUUACAUUUAAAAUUAUGUUGUUGUGCGUGGUCUAACAUUGAGACAGUUUGUACAAUUAUGUCUGGGAUGCAACAUGAACUACAUAAUCGUACCAUUUUGUUCGUCAUAUCCAUUUCGGUUCGAAUACUGGUUCUUUUUAAGCGGCCCUUUUCUUUCUUCGCAUUAUUUCAUUGUGCCUCAGUAUGUCCUCUUGAUAUGCAUGCCAUAAACAUUGUAUAGGUUUAUGGCUUGAUAUGGUAGUUUUCUUUGAACUAUGAUUGUCGGUGAAGACAAUGAAAUCUUACAUGUUAUUUUCAAUCAAGGUGGAGAUUGUUAGGGUUGGUAGAAAAUAUAUAUGUUGAAGAAGUCACACAUCGCUUAAUUUUGUAAAGGAAAAAAGGAGUCCAAAGCUAUAUAAUGGAUUCAAGUUCUUCAUUAUAAGAUGCAUCAGUCCAAAACACUUUAAGUUUUUAUUUGAAUUUCUUUGUUCUCUUAUACUCUUGUGUUAGAGUGUUGUGAGAUGUAAUUAAGUAUUAAUUUUAAAGAAUAUGAGUAUAUUGGGGUCUGGGCGUGAUUGAGAAUAUAUUAUAUAUCGUAACAAUUAUCACAUAGUUUUAUUCUUUGGGGGUAUUGUCAUACCCCAAUUUUGUCCGGGUAAGGAAAAAUCUUCAACCAGCAUUUACUACCCAAUGUUAAGAGACAUGAAUUUUAUCUUAAGACAUAGGUUCUAUUUUAGGUUUUUUCAGUCCUUUAUGACAUCAAGUCUUUAAUGACACUUUCAUCUGUUAAGAUCCUUAAGAAAAUAUCUGCUGCAAUUGUCUUUUACUGAAGCAUGGGAUGGUAUGUGCAUUUUUGGCUAACAAAGCCCAUUUUGGUUUACCCAUGAGAUCUCUUUGUUUCAAAGGUCCAUUUACAUAAACGUGUCCAUAAUUAAAAGUGUGGUUUGAAUCUUGUUACAUUACUAAUCCAAAAUCCAUUUGACUAUUAGUAAAGUAUUAAGAGUCAUGGAUAUUUUUUAUGAUCACUCAUCAUUAAACCCAUUUGCACAUCUCAAAUACAUAUGCCAAAUCUCUAAACCAUUCAUAAAAAAUCCUUAAACUAAACUUGCAUCUUUUCUAAGUGAGUAUGUUGGUUUAAGAUUAAGAUAUCACAUGCACGAGUAUUUAAUUGGUUUUUAUGAUCAAAGUUUGAAAGUGCAAAUAUUUUUGUGACAUGUUUUAUCUUAGGUUUUUUUGGCAUAUUUUAUUUUUAAUAAUAUUAAUGUGUUAAAGUUAAUCAAAUUGAAAAUCCAUUAAAUUGCAUUGUUGAGCCCAAUCCAUUUUCAGUUUGAAUUAUAGUUUAAAUUUUCUUUUGAUUAGCAUAGCUAAAUUAUUAAGGCAAGGUUUAAAGUAUUUAAUUGCAUGAUUAGAUGCAUAGUCCAAAAUUCAAUUAAAUCCAAAGUUUCUAAUAGUCCAAAGUAGUUACAUAGUUCUAAAAAAAAGGGAAGUUUCAAAUUAAAUUUACAUAUUGAAAAUAACUCCAAAUAAUCCAAAUUUACACAAAAAUCCAAAGGAGCAUUUGAUUAAUUUACAUGUUUCAAAAAUAAUCUAAAAUUCUGAAAAUAAUUGAAUAGAAUCUAAUGGUUUGAAGUAGUCUUCAGAGACUUUUUUCCAAAGCCAAUGGUUUGUAAGCCAGCGCCCAAUUUUAACUUUUCUUGUAGUGCCCCCCAACUCCAAAAGACAGUGCCCCUUUUCAAUCAAUUCAACAUCACUUCACCUGCAAAUGCAAAACAAAAUUAAAAAUUAAAAAAAAAUGCUUAUCAAAAUAAGCACUUAAAACAAACUGAAAAAUAAACCUUAAAAUAAAUAGAUUAUUUGGUUACACAUUGAACCAAAGAAAACGCCAAAAUACAUCCCAAUAUUCAAUCCAAAAACAACCUUAAAUCCAUAAGGUAAUUGUCCCACAAAAUCUGGAAACGGGAUUCAACAAGCAAUCUCAAAAGCAGAAUUCACAUAUAUAAACAAAAAUCAAUCAACAAAAGGAGGACACUGUUCUUGAAAUCCAACAGAACAAAUAAAAUCAAAGUAUUUUUAACCAAGCCAAGAACACGUUCUGAAAUAAUACAAGAAGAAAGCAUCAAUUUUUUUCUUUAAACAUCAAAACAACAAAUACACAUCUGUUUGAGAAUCAAGAAGAAAAUAAUAAAAUAUUUUCUUGUUAAACCAAAAAGUUUCAAAACAGCAGUGACAAUAUUCAAAACAAAAAGAAGAAGGAAAAGAGAAGGAAACGAAGGACUUAUCGUGAAAGAGGGAAGCAUCGCCGGAGGUUGACUUCGAAGAGUAAGUCCAUUCUCGUUCACCUUUCCAUGCCAUCAUCUUCGUUUCUUCGCGUGGGUUAAAACCCCUCUUUCAAUUUCUUCAAAAAACAUUGUUGCAGAGCUUUAAAUCUGGGUUUUUAGAGUUAGGUUUUGGAUGUUUGACUUUCGCUAUUUAGGUUAAACUAGAGUUUGUUGGCCGCACAAGAGAGAGAGAGGGUAUUAGGGUUUAGGUCUUCUUUUGUUUUGGGGUACCGAUCCGAACAUUGGAGAAGUAUUUUGAAGAAAACAAGGUUGGAUUCGGAAAGAGCGGCCAAAAUAAGUUAGGGUUCGUGUUUGGAAGUUUUGGUUUUGAGGUGGUUGGUCGCCGGAAGAGACGGUGGCGCCGCUGCGGUUGGCUGGCCGCCACCGUCUUCUCCGGUCAAGGUUGGCUGUGAGAGGGGCGGUGAUGAAACGUUUAAAUUACAGAGCAACUUGUUGGGAGAGAGGGAAGAGAGAGAGUGAGAACGGAAAAAUGAUCUCUCUCUCUCUGAAAUUUCCUUUUUAUACGUUGGUUAAGUUGAAGGCAUGGGUGCCACGUGGCCCCUUCUGGUGGCGCCACUUGGUUGGUCAACCAGUGGAUCCUCUAUGGAUCCCCCCACCAUAUGGUGGUACAUCCUCGUACACCUCUCCUUGAUCUGUUGACAAAGUCAGAGUAUUCCCAUCGUGUGGCCCAGAUUUUCCUAGAAAGUCUUUGUUAACCAAGCCAUUUAGGGUUUUUGGCAUUUUCGUUUGGGUCAACUCUGGUUGGGCCCAAAGACCUUUUCCCUAUUCAAACCCCCUAUUUUAUUUCCAGCAGCACCUUGAGUUGGGCUUUUCCCUCACUUAGCCCAUCUGCUUUCAUUUUUAAUUUAUUUCACUUAUUUUGUUUUAUUUCUAUACAUAUAAAAAAUACAAUAGACUUUUGUGACUAUUAAAUAAAAAUAAGACAAUGCUUUAGUUUACUUACUUUAUUUCAAAAUUAUAAUUAUAUUAUUAUUAUUAUUAUUAUUAUUAUUAUUAUUAUUAAUUUUUAAUAUUAAAUAUGUAAUUAUAUUAUUAUUAUUAUUAUUAUUAUUAUUAUUAAUUUUUAAUAGUAAAUAUGCAAUUAUAUUGUUAUUAUUAUUAUUAACAUUUAACAAAUAUGCAAUUAUUUGGUUAUAUUCAUUAUUUGUUUUUAAUUACUUAUUAUUUAAUUAAAAUAAUCUAUUAAACAUUUAAUUAGUUAAUUAUAUCAUUACUAAUGUCAUUUAUAAUUUAGAUAAUUGUUUAUUUUGUGGAGUGUAUGUGUAUGAUUAUUCUUUAUUUAUUUAUUUAUACCGAACCUUGAGCGCACACGAAAUGACAUAUUAUAAUUAUGACAAAAUUAUGUCGCUGUCACCGAUUUAAAAUCAUUCGAGCCAAUUUCAAAGAUAAAUCACAUACUUCUCGAUUCAAAGUCGAGCCCAUUUUCAAAACACCUUUGUAAGUCGAUUACUUGUAAAAGUAUCGCCAUCAACCUCACAAGAUAAAUCACAUACUUCUCGAUUCAAAGUCGAGCCCAUUUUCAAAACACCUUUGUAAGUCGAUUACUUGUAAAAGUAUCGCCAUCAACCUCACAUGGCUUACUCUUGGGCCUUCUUACAAUGAGACAUAUUCGGUUUUUAUUAAUCGAUUAGAUGAACUAUUCAAUAAAUAAAUUCAAUUCAUUCACGAAAAUACAAAUUUUAACACCUCGAUCCAACAUUGACUAUUCUUUAUUAAGAAUUAAAAUACUUAAUUACAAUUAAACAUUAUUUCACUUAGAAAUAAAAGAGGUAAUGGUUUUGAGUUUUCAACUCCUUUCCUCGAUUAUUUAAACACGAAGUCUUAUACUCGAUUAAUCGAACGAUCGUCCUUUCUAAUCCACCUAAGCGCAAAUAAACCGAAUUCUUUCACAUUAAGAAAUAAGAAGGGAGAUGACUUUGAGUCUUCAAUUUUUUCUCCUCGACUAUUUGAAUACAAGUUCUCUUCCUUGGUUGGUCAAAUAAUUGUCGUUCCUCUACAAACCUCCAAAUCCCGAUUAAAUCAAAAUAUUUUCACAGUAAGCUAAAUGGAGAGGGAGUUGACUUUGAGUUUUCAACUUCACUCUUCAAUUGGUCGAAUACGAGUUCUCUUACUCGGUCAGUCGAAUAAUUAUCAUUUUUCCGCAAACAUACAACUUAAUCAAAUCAUUUUCUUAACAAACUAUACGUAAAAGGAGAUGGUUUUGAGCUUUCAACUCCUCUUCUCAAAUGCUUGGAUAUGAGUUGUUUUACUCAGUCGUUCAAGUACUUGUCGUUUAUUAUAAAAUAUGUCAAUCUUAUACAACCUUAUCUUCACAAUUAAAGAUGAAAUAAAAAGCGGUCUAGAGUCUUCUAUUCCCUUUCUCGAUUAUUAGGAUACGAGUUGUCUUACUCGAUUAUCCGAGUAUUCGUCAUCCUUCCAAAACACCUUAAUUAUUAUUAGAUUUUUCCUAUAAUUAAAGAUGAAAAAGAAAGUAGUGUAGAAUCUUCUACCCUUUUCCCGACUGUUAGGAUACGAGUUGUCUUACUCAACCAUCCGAGUGAUCAUCACCCAACUGAAAACAUCUCAUCCAAUCAAAAACACCCAACAUAUUAAUUCAACCAAUCACCCCCGUGUGACCAAAACUCUUUUCAAGAGAACACCAUUUAAUCCUUUCUAAUGCGCAUAGCAAACCAAUGCUUAAGCUUUCACCGAGAGUAGACAAACCAACGUUUAGCCUUUAGAACGAGAUCUAAACAGUUGUUCAUUAAAAAACACCAACCAACCGUAGUUCCCCGAACUACGAAUGCUCUGAUUUCCUUAUUACACCAUAAGGAUACGUAGGCAGGAGAUUGAUGUAUCUUCGCGAGCACACUAAUGAAAAACCUCCCCUUUCCCUUUCUAAGGUUCUCAUCCAUUUCCACUUUAAAUAAUUUUAUAACCCAAAGAUAACAAACAAACAUAAAUUAACCCUCGAAACGCACAUUAGAACUAAAAGGUUCCCGUUGAGUACAACGGAUGUAAGGGGUGCUAAUACCUUUCCCUUACGUAAUCCACUCCCAAACCCGAAUAUGGUUGCGACGACCAUUAUUCUAUUUCCUAAAAAGUUUUAUAGAUAUUUUCCUAUUCCUUCAUUGGGAUAAAUAAAGUUCGGUGGCGACUCUGUUCGAACGUAUAUUUUUUCCGCGACCAUCGCGAGGAAUCGCAUUUUUUGAGAUGCGACAAAUGGAGACUCUGCUGGGGAAUAGCUCCAAGCAAAAGAGAGUGAAGCCUAAUCUAGUUCAGUUUCUGUAUUGUGUGUUAACCUUGUUUGUUUAUCUGUUAUUUUUUAUUCUGCCAUUAUUAUUCUAUCAUAAUUAUUAUAUUGUGACUUAUUGACUAUGUCUUAUUUGGGGUUCUCUGGUUGGUGAUACUUUGUGAGAUAGGCUCUCCACCCGAGUCUGAGAAAAACCAUAAGGUUAAGUUGGUGGUCGUGUAGUGGGCGCCCACAAGGAGUCUUCCUUGUUGGGAAGAAACGAAGACCCCGCCUAGAGGAGAUUCUCUUGAGAUACUAUUGCCCGACGAGUCUUCGUCACAACGAUAGUAUUCUCAAAUUGGAUUAAUGACUCUAGGGACCUUUUAGCCCAUUAUAUCUGGUGGUUAUGUAGUAUCUACCUGAAAAGUCCCAGACUUAUUGGGUUAAUACGAAAUCCCCAAUCAGAUGAGAUCCCUUGGGCGUAUUACUACCUUACAGUGGUAUUCCCAACCUCGAUCUAUGACUUUGAGAACCUUAUUAGAACCUUGGACUCGAGAGUUUUGUAGUAUGGUCCCACUAGGAGUCUUCCUCUUUGGGACCAUACAAAGGCCUCACCGAAACGAGACUCUGUUUGGAGAUGUUAUUCGCAGAUGAGUUUUCAUCAUGACAAUAACUUUCCUAAAUAUUGAUUGAUGACUUUGGGAACCUUUUAACUUUAGCAUCCUCCCAAAAGGGUUUUGUUUAGUAACCAAGAAUACCCGCUCUCACGACCUGUAUAUUAACUUACAUGUGACAUGCAUAAUAUCAUUCAUAGCAUAACAUUCAUAUUAUUUUAUUUCCAAGGAAUCUGAGUAUCAUGAGUUGCAGGAAUUCAAGAAACAUGGAAUCAAGCAAAAGAAACAUUUACUCUUUCAAGCUUCAGUUCAAGGAUCCCGAUCUAAAGAGCUUACGUGACUUGGUCUCUCAGAUGCACCCGGUAUACCAAAUCAACUUUGGGAAGAAUUAUGGCAACCUGCCUAGCAUCCUCAAUCAACGAGUAGGACUAUACAACUUUAAUCACUUUGGCCCAAUUUCAUGACCUACCUUUAAGAGCUUCCCAUUCUAAAGACUUUCCAGCUAGCACCAACGUUGGAAGAAUCGAGCGUCUUGUUAGGAUUCCUAUGAAGAACAAGCCACUAUUUGAAGGGAUAGAUGAAUCUUUGCCCCUUGAGGUCAUUGCUAGUGCGCUUCACAUGGAUGAAAAGGAAGCAGAGGCUAACUUAGAGACCAAAGGGAAUACCAACGGAUUUUUAGUAAGUUUUCUUUUGGAAAGAGCUCAUACCCUGUUGAAGGCAGAAAGUUGGGAUGCUUGUUACUCUGCUAUUUCAUUGGCCAUCUAUGGCGUUAUCAUGUUCCCGAAUAUGGAUGGUUUCGUAGACAUGACUGCUAUUUAUGUUUUCCUUACUAGAAACCCAGUAUCCACUUUGUUAGCCGAUGUCUACUAUUAUAUAAGUCAUAGGUAUACUAAGAAGAAGGGAUUGAUUUCUUGUUGUGCUCCUUUAUUGUAUUAGUGGUUUCUAGAACAUCUUCCGAAGACAUGUGCUUGGGUUGAAUAGACAGAUGUUAGUUGGCCUCAGAGAUUGGGAUCACUCCAAUUUGAAGAUCUCUCUUGGUACUCCAAAGAAUACAUCAACAUGGAUAUCAUAUUCAGUUGUAGAGAUUUCCCAAAUCUACCGCUUAUUGGAACUCAAGGAUGUGUGAAUGCUAACCCAGUUCUAUCACUCAGACAACUCGGCUACCCAAUGGAAGGCCCUCUAGAGGCAAAUUCUUUGGAAGCUUUCUUGUUACUUGACUUUGGGGCUGAGAAUCCUAGCUUAUUCCAGCGAAUCAAAGAAGCUUGGAGAAAUGUCAAUCGAAGAGGGAAAGCUGAGUUAAGGAGAGCAAAUGGGAUUAUAAAAGAACCAUAUUUUCAGUGGGUAAAGGAAAGGGUGCAGAUGAUUAAAAUGCCAUUUGUCAUUCGGACACCUAUACCUCUUCCUGAACCUAAGCUCACCCAUGUCCCUAUUGAAGAAAUGGAAGAACUCAAGACCACCAUGGCAAAGCUAGGAAAAGAGAAUGAAGAGUUGCAGAUAAAACUACAACAAACCAUCAAUGAGAAAAACAAUAUGAAGUGGGAGCUCGAGAGAAAAGAGGCACAGCUUAAAGCCUAUGUGGAAAAGUUUAACAAGGAGGAGUAUAAGAGGAAGAAGAUCAAGGUGGGAUUAGAACAAGCUGAUCAUUGUUUAGAUACCCUUAAAGGUCAACUAUGACAAGCUCAGAAAGAAUUUCAAGACAAUGAGCGUUGGUGGCAUCUAGCCACAAAGGAAAACAAGACGAUAAGGGAUACACUUGGGGCUCAGAUAAAAGAACUCACCAAUUCUAUUCGUCAUGCAAAAGCUGAAGUAGAUCAGGAGCUCCGACUCAAGAAUAUAGCCACUGAAGCUUCUAGGGUGUCACCCAUGAUAUGGGAGGAGAAGUGUCGAGAAGUAAGAGAUGCAAGGGAAUCUGUCAGCUAUUGGAAGAACCAGCUAGAGUCAUUACGCCAAGACAACUCCAUAUGGUUGAAAGAGUGAGACUAUGUGAUUGAAGAUUAUGAAUCCUUUAAGAAGACCAUAGACUUCUUACAAGGAGAUAGGGAUAAGUUUCAUGCGAAACUUGAUGGGCUAGUAGGGUUUUGUAAUUGGGCGGCUAAAGAAUUGCCAUGGAAGUUGAGAGACGCAGUCGAAGAGUUGAAAGAAGAUAGCACUCCUCCAGCCAUAAUCAGUUUCAUUCUGCUCUGUAAAGGGUUGCUGAAGAGAUUCAAUGAGGAACUAUAAGAGCUUCAGGCCAGAAGGCCAGCUGUUUAAUUUGCUUAUGUCUUGUAUUUUGUUCCUUUAACAAAUGUACUUUUGAACUAUGACCUUCUUUGAACCCCUACGUUAUGUACUUAAAUGAAUGACGUUUAAAAAUUACUUCAUUAUUGUUAUUCUAAGUAUUUCUUGUUUCUUCGAAUUACUAACAACUAAUGAAACUCGAAUGAUUCCCUGAAAAUAAAAUAUGCAUAACAUUCGCAUCUUCAUUAUACGUCAAGCUUCAUAAAAAUUCCAAAAAACUUACCCAAACUUUUUACCCUUUAUCCAGCCACACUGACUAAUCAACAUCGAUACAAGACGCGAAGCAAAUACAAGAUGACAUUAGAGCAAGUUGAGGCCAAUCAGGUUACCAUGAGGACAGACAUCAAUACAAUCCAGGAGAAGAUGGAUCAGUUGUUGGAGACAAUGCCCACGAUCGCUCAGAGAGAGAGGAGUGAGGAGGAAGAAGCUAGGGAAAAAAGAAAUGAUAGAACGCCAGGUCUGAAUCCCCAAGACGAAGGUUACAUCCCCACCAAGAAGAGAUUGGUUCAGAUGCCGGUAGGAGGAAAAGGAGAUGGAGACCGUGCAAAACCUUCUGAUACGUCUACUCAUCAUGGAUCCUAAAUUGGAGAUGACUAGUAUGAUGCAUUCUAUAUGUCUGAUCAACCAAAACCUAAGAUACUUCUAGAAACUGUUGUAGAUAGGCUUCGUGCCCUGGAAAAGAAAAUCAAAGCCAUAGAAGGAAACAAUAUCUUCAGUGCUUCUGCCAUGAACAUGCGUUUGGUAUCAAAUUUAGUCAUCCCGACUAAAUUUAAAACUCCUGAUUUCGAGAAAUAUAAAGGACAGACUUGUCCAAGAAGUCACCUGGUAAUGUACUUCAGAAAAAUGGUUGCUCAUACCGAAAACGAAAAACUACUUGUACACUAUUUCCAAGACAGUCUGAGUGGAGCAUCUCUGAGAUGGUACAUGAGCUUAGGUGAAACAAACGCCAUAUCCAGAAACUAUAAAGGAAAGCAACAAGCUUCAUAUGGUCAAGUCGCCGCCGUGGUGCCUAUACCCUAUCAACAACCAAUGCAGCAACAACAAAUGUAUCAACCACAACAUCAACAACAUCAUCAUCAACAAAAUACAGCACCACCAAGACAAUUCAAGCCAAGACCUUCAAGAAGGCAACUUGAUCCCCUACUAGUACCUUAUAGUCACAUAUUCCCAUAUCUACAAAAGGAGGGCCUUCUAACAUUGAGGGAGUUAAAACCAGCUGUUUUUCCAUAUCCACCUGAAUACGACGCUAACGCCCAUUGUGAGUUUCACAUGGGAGCACCUGGUCAUACCUUGGAGAAUUUCUUUGCAUUUCAAAAUCGGGUACAAGACUUAAUCGAAGCGAAAGCUGUCUCAUUCACUCCAAGACGCCCGAACGUGAACACCAACCCUAUGCCAACGCAUAAGGACGCUUCCGUCAGUGUCAUUGAGGAGAGUGAUCAAGGCAAAUUGAUCCGUAAGGUUGAAGAGAUUCAUACCCCUAUCACCAUGAUAGGAGCACAAUGGCUGAAGAGUGGUUUAAUCCCGGAGGAGCUAGUUGAGGAAGAGAACAAUAAGGAGUUGAGAAGUUUUAUACAAUAAAUACUAGAUCAAGGCGAGUUACAAAUAAAUUGUCAUGUCAAGAGCAAGCACCAGGAAGAGAUAGUCGUGGUGGACAUCCCCUAUGAUGAGGAUAGAGUAGAAAUACCCAUAAGCCCGUUGGUGAUAGAGUUCCCAGCACCAUUCAAAUAGAAAAAUGAGAAGGCAGUCCCAUGGAUAUAUCAUCCCAAAGCUUUUACGCAGGGGCAGGAAGAUCAACCUUUGAUAAUCAACGAACCAAAUAUCACUUCAAUUGUGGGGCCAACAGGAAUGACGCGUAGUGGCCGAGUGUUCGCAUCAAGAACUACUGAUACCUCUGAAAGAGCUAAAGGGAAGGAGGCUACUGUCCAGAUCCUCAUCCCUAAUCAAGGAAUGCAAGACAUGCACCUGUCUCCUAAAGCUGUUGUCAUUCGUGAGGAGGCUGAGGAGUUUUUGAGAAUAAUCAAGAAGAGCGAUUAUAAGGUGGUGGACCAGCUAAACCAAACACCUUCCAAAAUUUCCAUGUUAUCUCUACUGCUCAACUCAGAAGCAUACAGGAAUUCGCUGCUGAAGGUAUUGAGCGCCGCUCAUAUCACGAAGGAUAUAACAAUAAAACAGUUUGAUGAUGUGAUAGCUUGUGUGACCACUGGGAAUUUCUUGGGUUUUAAUGAUGAUGAGCUACCAAUCGAGGGAAAGAACCAUAACAAGGCCCUCCAUAUCUCCUUGAAAUGCAUAGAUACUAUACUGUCAAGAGUGUUAGUAGACACAGGUUCCUCACUGAAUGUCAUGCCGAAGACAACUUUGAUAAAGCUGCCAAUGGAAGGGAUAAGUAUGAAACCUAGUACCCUAAUCGUAAAAGCAUUUGAUGGCUCAAGGCGAGCAGUGAUAGGAGAAGUUGACUUACCAAAAACCUAGUACCCUAAUCGUAAAAGCAUUUGAUGGCUCAAGGCGAGCAGUGAUAGGAGAAGUUGACUUACCAACCAAGAUAGGUCCAACUAUUUUCAAUAUCACAUUCCAGGUCAUGGACAUACAUCCGGGUUACAGUUGCCUACUUGGGAGACCCUGGAUUCACUCCACAGGUGCUGUCACCUCUACUCUGCAUCAAAAGCUGAAAUUCAUUAUAAAUGUCAAGAUGAUUGUGAUUGGAGGAGUGGAAGACAUCUUGGUUAGUCACUUGACAUCUUUCCGAUAUAUUGAGGUAGAUGGUGAAAUCACUGAAACACCAUUCCAAUCCUUGGAAGUGGUAAACAUGAUGGCCGUCCAACGGACCUUGGAGGUCCCGAAAUCAGGACCAUCCAUGGCCUUGUGGCAAGGAGCUAAAGCCGUUAUGGAAAGUAAAGAUGCUCAAGACUGGGGCAAAGUGGUGGAAGUGAAAGAGAAACGAGACAAGUUUGGCCUGGGGUAUGACCCAUCAUCACACAAAGCCAGUAACCAACAUGACAAAGAACAAAUUCCUUCUGUGGAGAAAAUGUUCACUAGCACUGGCCACAUCUUUGGCAAGCAAGUGGCAAUGAUCAGUGAAGAAGACCGCAAGGAAGGGGUGUCCAGCUGGAUGCGUCAAGCCACACCUAAUGAAGAACUAGCAAACUGGAAAGCUGUGGAAGUUCCCCAAAUAUUUCAAAAGAAAUUUUAUCAUUUUAGAUAAAACCCUGUGCUCUGCCCAAGGCAUAGUGGCAUGUUGUAGGGCCUCCCUUAUCUUUUUCAAGAGUUUUUAUCAUUAAUGAAAUGACGUUUUGCAUUCAAAUUUUCGUUUCUUUUUCUUUCGUUUUGAUCUAUUUACAAAAAUGGCAAUCAAUUUUUAUGCACACACUUUCUAAAUAAACUGCAUAAAUCAUAACAUGCAGAAACACCACCGAGAUUAUUGAUAACAACACUGCUACGGUCCAAUAUAACUUUGAUUGUCCAAUCUACCAAGCUGAAGACGAAGUGGGGGAAGAUUGCGAGCUCCCUAAAGAGUUGGCCAGAUUACUCAGACAAGAAGAAAAGGUCAUUCAACCACACUAGGAAGACGUUGAAGUUAUCAAUCUGGGAACAGAAGAAGAUAAGAGAGAAGUAAGGGUAGGCGCCGCACUUCAAGAUACAGUGAAGACAAGAUUGAUAAAUCUCCUCCACGAAUAUGACGACGUGUUCGCUUGGUCAUACCAAGACAUGCCCGGAUUAGACACUGAUAUCGUGACCCACAAGCUUCCCCUUAAAGAAGAAUGCCCUGCUGUCAAACAAAAGCUAAGAAGAACUCGACCUGAUAUGACUCUCAAGAUCAGAGAAGAGGUGAGAAAGCAGUUUGACGCUGGUUUUCUGGAAGUCGCAAAGUGCCCAUAAUGGGUUGCUAACAUUGUACCAGUACCGAAGAAAGAAUGAAAAGUCCGCAUGUGCGUAGACUAUCGAGACUUGAACAGAGCCAGUCCCAAAGAUGAUUUCCCAUUACCUCACAUUGAUGUAUUGCUGGAUAACACAACUCAGUUCUCUGUGUUUUACUUUAUGGAUGAUUUCUCUGGAUACAACCAAAUUAAAAUGGAUCCUGAAGACAUGGAAAAUACCACGUUCAUUAACCCUUGGGGUACCUUUUGUUACAAAGUAAUGCCUUUCGGAUUAAAGAACAUUGGGGCAACAUAUAAACGUACCAUGGUGACUCUCUUUCACGACAUGAUUCAUGAAGAGAUUGAGGUGUAUGUCGAUGACAUGAUUGCCAAAUCCCAGACAGAAGAAAAGCACAUCACUAACCUGGGGAAACUAUUUGCUCGUUUGAGGAAGUUUAGGUUGAGGCUUAAUCCUAACAAAUGCACAUUUGGGGUUCGAUCUGGGAAGCUUUUAGGCUUUAUUGUAAGCCAAAAAGGAAUUGAAGUAGAUCCUGACAAGGUUCGAGCCAUUCAAAACAUGCUUGCACCGAGGACUAAAAAGAAGGUUCGUGGUUUCUUGGGGAGACUAAAUUACAUCGCCAGGUUUAUCUCUCACCUUAUGAAACAUGUAAACCAAUAUUCAAGCUCCUGAGGAAAAAUCAAGGCGUGGAGUGGAACGAUGACUGCCAAAUAGCCUUCGAUAAAAUCAAAGAAUACUUGCAAGAGCCACCGAUUCUGAUGCCCCCUGCAGAAGGGAGACCUCUCAUCAUGUAUCUAACUGUGCUCGACGAGUCCAUGGGUUGUGUAUUGGGACAACAAGAUGAGACUGGUAGAAAAAAGUAUGCCAUCUAUUAUCUAAGCAAGAAAUUUAAUGAUUGUGAGACCAGAUAUUCAUUACUUGAGAAGACUUGUUAUGCACUCGCAUGGGCCGCUAAGCGUCUCAGGCAGUACAUGCUAACUCACACGACUUGGUUGGUAUCUAAAAUGGAUCCCAUCAAGUACAUAUUCGAGAAACGAACUCUCACUGGUAGAAUUGCCUGAUGGCAGAUGUUGUUGUCAGAAUUCGAUAUCCAAUAUGUUGCGCAAAAGGCGAUCAAAGGGAGCAUAUUAGUAGACCAUCUUGCUCACCAACCGCUGGAGGAUUACCAAUCUCUGAAAUUUGACUUCCCAGAUGAGAACAUCAUGGCUGUUAAGGACGUUGAAGACUCCUAACUAGAGAAAAGUCUAGAACCAAGAGCAGGUUGGACACUCAUGUUUGAUGGCGCCUCAAAUGCAAUAGGCCAUGGAAUUGGGGCAGUGCUGAUGUCUCCCAAGAAUUUCCAUCUACCACUCACCGCAAAGCUUUGUUUUCCUGCACAAAUAACAUGGUCGAGUACGAAGCUUGCAUAUUAGGGUUGGAAGAAGCUAUUGAGUUGAAGAUCAAGAUACUAGAAGUAUUCGGGGACUCUGCUCUAGUCAUACAUCAGAUCAGAGGAGAUUGGGAAACAAGACAUGUUAACCUAAUUCCAUACCGGGAUUACGUGUUGAAGUUACUCCCAAAGUUCGACGAAAUCACUUUCUCUCAUAUUCCUCGAUAAGAGAAUCAUAUGGCAGAUGCCUUAGCAACUCUGGCUUCCAUGUACAAAUUGAUAUGGCCCAACCAUCAGCCUCAUAUUGAAAUUAGGCGUUUUGAUGAACCUGCUCAUUGCCUAACGACAGCGGAAGAGCCAGAUGGUAAACCCUGGUUCUUUGAUAUCAAACAGUAUCUGGAGAAGCGGGAAUAUCCGGCAAAGGCUUCCAGCCUUGACAAAAGGACCCUCCGGAGGUUGGCAUCAAAAUGCCUCUUGAAUGGAGAAGUAUUAUACAAGCAAAACUAUGACAUGGUUUUGUUGAGGUGUGUGGACAAAAAUGAAGCAGAUCAGCUUAUGAGGGACAUACACGAAGGGUCUUUCGGUACGCACGCCAAUGGGCAUGCCAUGGCAAAGAAAAUCCUAAGGGCAGGUUACUACUGGUUGACAAUGGAAGCCGACUGUUAUCAUUACACCAGAGCAUGCCACAAAUGCCAAAUCUAUGCUGACAAGAUACAUGUACCGCCUACCCCGCUGAAUGUCAUAGCAUCUCCUUGGCCUUUCUCUAUGUGGGACAUCGACAUGAUUGGAAUGAUAGAGCCCAAAGCAUCAAAUGGACACAGAUUUAUCUUGGUGGCCAUAGAUUACUUUAACAAAUGGGUGGAAGUCGCGUCUUAUGCGAAUGUCACAAAGCACGUAGUCGCCUGUUUCUUGAAAAAUAACAUCAUAUGUCGACAUGGGAUUCCCAACAAAAUCAUCACUGAUAAUGGGUCCAAUCUCAACAACAAGACCAUGGAUGAGUUAUGCGCAACAUUCAAGAUCGAGCACCACAACUCAUCGCCCUAUCGACCUAAGAUGAAUGGAGCUGUUGAAGCUGCAAAUAAAAAUAUCAAUAAAAUCAUCCAAAAGAUGGUUGUUACGUACAAGGAUUGACAUGAGAUGUUGCCUUUUGCAUUACAUGGUUAUCGCACAUCGGUACGAACUUCAACAGGGGAAACCCCUUAUUCCCUGGUAUACGGUAUGGAAGCAGUUCUCCCUAUAGAAAUAGAGAUUCCCUCGAUGAGAGUCUUGAUGGAGGCUAAGCUAGACGAGGCAGAAUGAGUUCAAUCAAGGUACGACGAGCUUAACCUUAUUGAGGAGAAACGCUUGAAAGUGUUAGGUCACGGUCAACUCUACCAAAGACGUCUUAAGAAGGCAUUCGGCAAGAAAGUUCGUCCCAGGGUGUUUCAAGAGGGAGAUUUAGUGCUGAAGAAAAUAUUGCCUAUUCACAAAGACUCCAGAGGGAAAUGGACACCAAAUUAUGAAGGUCUAUUUAUGGUGGUUAGAGCCUUUUCCGGAGGCGCUCUAAUUCUAGCAACUAUGGACGGUGAUGAGUUUCCGCUUCCCACCAAUACUGAUGCUGUUAAAAAGUACUUCGCCUAAAAAAGUGGAAUAAUAAAAGCCGCUAAAUCGAAAACCCAAAAGGGCGACACAGGAAAAAAUUGGUAUCCCGGUGGGUCAAAAACCCGAAAGGGCGAUCUAGGCAAAAGUUAGGGAUUAAUUCCAAGGCAAAAAGUUGUACUUACAGACAUUGGGCGUAUCCCCGAAGACAAAGAAUCAUUCUACCUUACUUUUCACAAGCAAAGUGCUCGAACUAUCAAAGACAUAAAGAUCAUAGCAGUGUCGAAACUCAAUAAGAACUCAAUUUUCAUUGCCAUUUUGCUUUUAUGCACAACAAUUACCUCAUUAAGGAAUUGCGUCUUUAUGUACAAUCACCCAUUUAAGGGUCAAAUCAAUAAAAGAGAAUUUUUCUCAACAAAAUGUGCCAGAAUCAUUUUUGUAUUUUAUCUGUCUGUUUGCAAAGCACCUUUUAUUUUUUAUAAACAUCACUUUUAAAAACUAUUAGAGAAAAUAAAACACAUGUUUGAAUAAAUUGGUAAAAUUGCUUUUGAAAUAGUAAGCGGACGAAUCCUUUAGUCCCCAAGAUUUAUUCUUGUUUUUCAUAAAGGUGUAGGACUGAUUGUAAAUGGUUAUGUUCCUUUCAACUACUAAUUCAUACCUCUCAUAAAUGUACUCAGGGUAUAGCCAGACUGGGGCAAGGCUCCAUCACAUUUCCAACAUAAGCAUUGAUAAAUCAUGGAUGAAGCAUCGCGUGUCGAGAAGUCUGAACCUUUCAGUAACUUGGAGCAACCCAAAUAUAUUCCCAAAACCACCUAGUAGGGGCAUUAAAACUUGAUCUCCAUUAAUCACCCCAAUAACAAAAGUCCACACUAUUGGCAUCAUACCUCAAAGUAAAAUGUCUUAACCGGGGCAUAUCCAAUUACCCAUUUGCAUUCUAACAUGCAUCAUAUAAAUCAUUCAUAAAUGGUUUUUCCUACCAAACAGAAAAAUUACAGAAACACGGUCAUAUCAAUCAUCAACAUACUCAUGCAUAUCCCUCCCGUAAAGUUAGAAGGUCAACAAAUAAAAAAAUCAUUCACAUUCCUACAUGCACAGCCAAAUAUCCCCAGCAAUUGCAUACCUGCAUGCAUCUCAUGCAUCAUCCCAUGGAUAGAAUUCCCACCUAAAGUGGGACAUCAUACAAAAAAAUCAAAAGUAAAAUAUCAGGAUCCAGGGUCAUUCAUGUGUAUCUUGGACAUUGCUCAUUUCCAAAUGAGGUAAUUACCCUGCAUAUGCUCGUAGGAUCAUUUUCUCAGCAAAUCAUUUUUUAACUUUAUAAUUAAAAAUGAUAUUCCCAACAUUUUUUUUUUACAAUCAUUUCUCCCCAAGCAGAGGUUACCCUAAAAAGUAUCUUAUGAGUUUUUUCCCCUGCAGAGCAUUUCUAGUAAAUCUCCCUCAAAAGGAGCCUUUUCAAAAAAUUCCCCCAACAGACGAAUAUUUGAGAUACCGCUUCAUUUAUCUGAAGAAUCUCAUUUGUCUGUUUGAGAUAUUGCUCUAAUAUCCUCGGAGAGUCUUAGAUUCAAUUAAGGUAUUUUUCCCUUGCUGGAAUAUCUUAAUUCUAUCAUAUAAGAUGCUGUUUCGACCCGAUACAGAGAAUCUCAUUUUUACUGUUUGAGAAGGUAUUUUUCCCUUGCUGGAAUAUCUUAAUUCUAUCAUAUAAGAUGCUGUUUCGACCCGAUACAGAGAAUCUCAUUUUUACUGUUUGAGACGCUGCUUCAUCAAUAUGAAGAGUCUCAUUUCAGAUUUUUCAAGAGAUAUUGCUUUAAUAUCCUUGGAGAGUCUUAGAUUCAAUUAAGGUACUUUUCCCUUGCUGGAAUAUCUUAAUUCUAUCAUAUAAAAUGUUGUUACGACCCAAUAUAGAGAAUCUCAUUUUUACUGUUUGAGAUGCUGCUUCAUCAAUAUGAAGAGUCUCAUUUCAUAUUUUUCUAGAGAUAAUACUCUAGUAUCUUCGGAGAGUCUUAGAUUCAAUUAAGGUACUUUUCCCUUGCGGGAAUAUCUUAAUUCUAUCAUAUAAGAUGUUGUUUCGACCCGAUACAGAGAAUCUCACUUUUACUGUUUGAGAUGCUGCUUCAUCAAUAUGAAGAGUCUCAUUUCAGAUUCUUUUAGAGAUACUGCUCUAAUAUCCUCGGAGAGUCUUAGAUUCAAUUAAGGUAUUUUUCCCUUAUUGGAACACCUUAAUUCUAUCAUAUAAGAUGUUGUUUCGACCUGAUAUAGAGAAUCUCACUUUUACUGUUUGAGAUGCUGCUUCAUCAAUAUGAAGAGUCUCAUUUCAGAUUCUUUUAGAGAUACUGCUCUAAUAUCCUUGGAGAGUCUUAGAUUCAAUUAAGGUAUUUUUCCCUUACUGGAACACCUUAAUUCUAUCAUAUAAGAUGUUGUUCCGACCUGAUACAGAGAAUCUCACUUUUACUAUUUGAGAUGCUGCUUCAUCAAUAUGAAGAGUCUCAUUUUAGAUUCUUUUGAGAUACUGCUCUUAUAUCCUCGAAGAAUCUUAGAUUCAAUUGAGGUAUUUUUCCCUUGUUGGAAUAUCUUAAUUCCAUCAUAUAAGAUGCUACUUCGACCCGAUACAGAGAAUAUCAUUGUUACUAUUUGAGAUGCUGCUUCAUCAAAAUGAAGAGUCUCACGCCAGAUUUCCUUUAUAUUACUCUAGAAUCCUGGAAAGCCUUGAGAUUUAGCUAGGGAUGCCAUUCCAUAUAUCUCGACUGAGAUGUCCAAGAUACUGUUCUGACGACUCACAGAAAGUCUUGACUGUUCCAUUUUACUGUAGGAUAAUGUCUUUUGCCAUUUCUCACCGUAUUUUUUCCUAUAUUUUCUUCCUUGCAUUUCCUAGGACAAAAUUUGGGUCUUCUUGUAUUUAAUUAUCUCCCACCGUGAAUGCAUGAAGACUGCUGUCAUUCUUACUUUCCGGUUUGAGGUAAUUAAAUAGGGCCAGCUGUCAUACCCCAAUUUUGUCCGGGUAAGGAAAAAUCUUCAACCAGCAUUUACUACCCAAUGUUAAGAGACAUGAAUUUUAUAUUAAUACAUAGGUUCUAUUUUAAGUUUUUUCAGUCCUUGGUGACAUCAAGUCUUUAAUGACACUUUCAUCUGUUAAGAUCCUUAAGAAAAUAUCUGCUGCAAUUGUCUUUUACUGAAGCAUGGGAUGGUAUGUGCAUUUUUGGCUAACAAAGUCCAUUUUGGUUUACCCAUGAGAUCUCUUUGUUUCAAAGGCUCAUUUACAUAAACGUGUCUAUAAUUAAAAGUGUGGUUUGAAUCUUGUUACAUUACUAAUCCAAAAUCCAUUUUAUUAUUAGUAAAGUAUUAAGAGUCAUGGAUAUUUUUUAUGAUCACUCAUCAUUAAACCCAUUUCCACAUCUCAAAUACAUAUGCCAAAUCUCUAAAUCAUUCAUAAAAAAAUCCUUAAACUAAACUUGCAUCUUUUCUAAGUGAGUAUGUUGGUUUAGGAUUAAGAUAUCACAUGCACGAGUAUUUAAUUGGUUUUUUAUGAUCAAAGUUUGAAAGUGCAAAUAUUUUUGUGACAUGUUUUAUCUUAGGUUUUUUUUUGGCACAUUUUAUUUUUGAUAAUAUUAAUGUGUUAAAGUUAAUCAAAUUGAAAAUCCAUUAAAUUGCAUUGUUGAGCCCAAUCCAUUUUCAGUUUGAAUUAUAGUUUAAAUUUUCUUUUGAUUAACACAGCUAAAUUAUUAAGGCAAGGUUUAAAGUAUUUAAUUUCAUGAUUAGAUGCAUAAUCCAAAAUUCAAUUAAAUCCAAAGUUUAUAAUAGUACAAAGUAGUUACAUAGUUCUCCAAAAAAAAAAGGGAAGUUUCAAAUUUAAUUUCAAAUUAAAUUUACAUAUUGAAAACAACUCCAAAUAAUCCAAAUUUACACAAAAAUCCAAAGGAGCAUUUGAUUAAUUUACAUGUUACAAAAAUAAUCUAAAAUUCUGAAAAUAAUUGAAUAGAAUCUAAUGGUUUGAAGUAGUCUUUGGAGACUUUUUUCCAAAGCCAGUGGUUUGUAAGCCAGCGCCCAAUUUUAAUUUUUCUUGUAGUGCCCCCCAACUCCAAAAGCCAGCGCCCCUUUUCAAUCAAUUCAACAUCACUUUACCUGCAAAUGCAAAACAAAAUUAAAAAUUAAAAAAAAUGCUUAUCAAAAUAAGCACUUAAAACAAACUGGAAAAUAAACCAUAAAAUAAACAGAUUAUUUGGUUUCACAUUGAACCAAAGAAAACGCCAAAAUACAUCCCAAUAUUCAAUCCAAAAACAACCUUAAAUCCAAAAGGUAAUUGUCCCACAAAAUCUGGAAACGGGAUUCAACAAGCAAUCUCAAAAGCAGAAUUCACAUAUAUAAACAAAAAUCAAUCAACAAAAGGAGGACACUGUUCUUGAAAUCCAACAGAACAAAUCAAAGUAUUUUUAACCAAGCCAAGAACACGUUCUGAAAUAAUACAAGAAGAAAGCAUCAAUUUUUUUCUUUAAACAUCAAAACAACAAAUACACAUCUGUUUGAGAAUCAAGAAGAAAAUAAUCAAAUAUUUUCUUGUUAAACCAAAAAGUUUCAAAACAGCGGUAACAAUAUUCAAAACAAAAAGAAGAAGGAAAAGAGAAGGAAACGAAGGAUUAUCGUGAAAGAGGGAAGCAUCGCCGGAGGUUGACUUCGAAGAGUAAGUCCAUUCUCGUUCACCUUUCCAUGCCAUCAUCUUCAUUUCUUCGCGUGGGUUAAAACCCCUCUUUCAAUUUCUUCAAAAAAACUUUGCUGCAGAGCUUUAAAUCUGGGUUUUUAGGGUUAGGUUUUGGAUGUUUGACUUUCGCUAUUUAGGUUAAACCAAAGUUUGUUGGCCGCGAGAGAGAGAGAGGGGGUAUUAGGGUUUAAGUCUUCUUUUCUUUUGGGGUGCCAAUCCGAAUAUUGGAGAAGGAUUUUGAAGAAAACAAGGUUGGAUUCGGAAAAAGCGGCCAAAAUAAGUUAGGGUUCGUGUUUGGAAGUUUUGGUUUUGAGGUGGUUGGUCGCCGGAGGAGACGGCGGCGCCGCCGCGGUUGACCGACCGCCACCGUCUUCUCCGGUCAAGGUUGUCCGUGAGAGGGGCGGUGAUGAAACGUUUAAGUUGCAGAGCAACUUGUUGGGCGAGAGGGAAGAGAGAGAGUGAGAAUGGAAAAAUGAUCUCUCUGUCUGAAAUUUCCUUUUUAUAUGUUGGUUAAGUUGAAGGCAUGGGCGCCAUGUGGCCCUUUCUGGUGGCGCCACUUGGUUGGUCAACCAGGGGAUCCUGUGAGGAUCCCCCAUCAUAUGGUGGUACACCCUCAUACACCUCUCCUUGAUUUGUUGACCAAGUCAGAGUAUUCCCAUCGUGUGGCCCAGAUUUUCCUAGAAAGUCUUUGGUUGACCGAGCCAUUUAGGGUUUUUUGCAUUUUCGUUUGGGCCAACUCUGGUUGGGCCCAAAGACCUUUUCCUUAUUCAAACCCCCUAUUCUAUUUCCAGCAGCACCUUGAGUUGGGUUUUUCCCUCAGUUGGCCCAUUUGCUUUCAUUUUUAAUUUAUUUCACUUAUUUUGUUUUAUUUCUAUACAUAUAAAAAAUACAAUAGACUUUUGUGGCUAUUAAAUAAAAAUAAGACAAUGCUUUAGUUUACUUACUUUAUUUCAAAAUUAUAAUUAUACUAUUAUUAUUAUUAUUAUUAUUAUUAUUAUUAUUAUUAUUAAUUAUUAAUAGUAAAUAUGCAAUUAUAUUGUUAUUAUUAUUAUUAUUAAUAUUUAAUAAAUAUGCAAUUAUUUGGUUAUAUUCAUUUUUUUAAUUACUUAUUAUUUAAUUAAAAUAAUCUAUUAAACAUUUAAUUAGUUAAUUAUAUCAUUACUAAUGUCAUUUAUAAUUUACAUAAUUGUUUAUUUUGUGGAGUGUAUCUGUAUGAUUAUUCUUUAUUUAUUUAUUUAUAUCGAACCUUGAGCGCACACGAAAUGACAUAUUAUAAUUAUGACAAAAUCAUGUUGCUGUCACCGAUUUAAAAUCAUUCGAGCCAAUUUCAAAGAUAAAUCACAUACUUCUCGAUUCAAAGUCGAGCCCAUUUUCAAAACACCUUUGUAAGUCGAUUACUUGUAAAAGUAUUGCCAUCAACCUCACAUGGCUUACUCUUGGGCCUUCUUACAAUGAGACCUAUUCGGUUUUUAUUAAUCGAUUAGAUGAACUAUUCAAUAAAUAAAUUCAAUUCAUUCACGAAAAUACAAAUUUUAACACCUCGAUCCAACAUCGAGUAUUCUUUAUUAAGAAUUAAAAUACUUAAUCACAAUUAAACAUUAUUUCACUUAAAAAUAAAAGAGGUAAUGGUUUUGAGUUUUCGACUACUUUCCUCGAUUAUUUAAACACGAACUCUUAUACUCGAUUAAUCGAACGACCGUCAUUUCUAAUCCACCUAAGCGCAAAUAAACUGAAUUCUUUCACAUUAAAAAAUAAGAAGGGAGAUGACUUUGAGUUUUCAAUUUUUUCUCCUCGACUAUUUGAAUACAAGUUCUCUUCCUUGGUUGGUCAAAUAAUUGUCGUUCCUCUACAAACCUCCAAAUCCCGAUUAAAUCAAAAUAUUUUCACAGUAAGCUAAAUGAAGAGGGAGUUGACUUUGAGUUUUCAACUUCACUCCUCAAUUGGUCGAAUACGAGUUCUCUUACUCGGUCAGUCGAACAAUUAUCAUUUUUCCGCAAACAUACAACUUAAUCAAAUCAUUUUCUUAACAAACUAUACGAAAAAGGAGAUGGUUUUGAGCUUUCAACUCCUCUUUUCAAAUGCUUGGAUAUGAGUUGUUUUACUCAUUCGUUCAAGUACUUGUCGUUUAUUAUAAAAUACGUCAAUCUUAUACAACCUUAUCUUCACAAUUAAAGAUAAAACAGAAAGCGGUCUAGAGUCUUCUAUUCCCUUUCUCGAUUAUUAGGAUACAAGUUGUCUUACUCGAUUAUCCGAGUAUUCGUCAUCCUUCCAAAACACCUUAAAUAUUAUUAGAUCUUUCCUAUAAUUAAAGAUGAAAAAGAAAGUGGUCUAGAGUCUUCUACCCCUUUCCCGACUGUUAGGAUACGAAUUGUCUUACUUGACCAUCCGAGUGAUCGUCACCCAACCGAAAACAUCUUAACCAAUCAAAAACACCCAACAUAUUAAUUCAACCAAUCACCCCCGUGUGACCAAAACUCUUUUCAAGAGAACACCAUUUAAUCCUUUCUAAUGCGCAUAACAAACCAACGCUUAAGCCUCCGCUGAGAGUAGACAAGCCAACGUCUAGCCUUUAGAUCGAGAUCUAAACAGUUGUUCAUUAAAAAACACCAACCAAGUUCCUCGAACUACGAAUGCUCUUAUUUCCUUAUUACACCAUAAGGAUAUGUAGGCAGGAGAUUGUUGUAUCUUUGCGAGCACAAUAAUAAAAAACCUCUCAUUUUCCUUUCUAAGGUUCUCAUCAAUUUCCAUUUUUAAUAAUUUUAUAACCCAAAGAUAACAAACAAACAUAAAUUAACACUCGAAACGCACAUUAGAACUAAAAAGUUCCCGUUGAGUACAACGGACGUAACGGGUGCUAAUAUAUUUUCCUUACGUAAUCCACUCCCGAACUCGAAUAUGGUUGCGACGACCAUUAUUCUAUUUCCUAAAAGAUUUUAUCGAUAUUUUUCUAUUCCUUCAUUGGGAUAAAUAAAGUUCGGUGGCGACUCUGUUCGAACGUAAAUUUUUUCCGCGACCAUCGCGAAGAAUCGCAUUUUUUGAGAUGCGACAGGUAUUAUUCUCUACGUUGAUUCCUCCCAACAAAUCUUUCACCAGAUUUCUCAAAUGAGGGCACUGAGCAAGUAUUAGAACCAAAUGGUAACCCCAUUUUCCUAGGUAGCCAAUCCUUCAUCUUGCAAGCAAAUUAUGGCACUCUUGAUGGAGGAGUAAGACUAGGAAGAACAAGUGAUUUAAAGUGUCUAGUUACCGUCUUACAAAUUUAGAAUCAAAUCCCUUCAAAUUUAGAAAAGAUAAUUUUGAUAUACAUUAUAACGGCAAGAAUAACAUUGCUCUAAAAACAAGUGAUGCUCGUGAGACGCAUGGUUACUUUAUUACUAGAAAAUAUCCAAAGCUUAAAAGGCUUUUGUUGACUCAAUAACUUAACACGUGUGUGAAACAUUUGUCACAUGCUUGUUCCAAAUAAAAGGGUGCUUCACAUCAUUACUACUGUAUUAUAUAUAGAGGCAUAUAGUUAACCAACAAACUCACAAACAAAAACAUCCUUAAUCACCUAACAAUGAAACCUCUUUCACCACUCACCCUUUCCUUUUUCCUCUUUGUUUUCAUCACCACUCUUUCACUAGCUUUCUCAAAUGAAGAUGUUGAGCAAGUAUUGGACGUUAAUGGCAAGCCCAUUUUCCCCGGUGGCCAAUACUACAUCUUGCCAGCACAUCCCUGGCCUCCGGCGGAGGAGUAAGACUCGGAAGAACGGUGAUUUAAC